GGAGGGUGCAAGCAUUAAUCGGAUUUAUUGGGCGUAAAGGGCGCGUAGGCGGGUUUGUAAGUCAGAUGUGAAAUACCGAGGGCUCAACUUCGGUGCUGCCUUUGAAACUACAAGCCUAGAGGAUAGACGGAGAAAACGGAAUUCCACAAGUAGCGGUGAAAUGCGUGGAUAUGUGGAAGAACACCUGUGGCGAAAGCGGUUUUCUAGUUUAUUCCUGACGCUGAGGCGCGAGAGCAAGGGGAGCAAACAGGAUUAGAUACCCUGGUAGUCCUUGCCGUAAACGAUGUAUACUUGAUGUAGUUGGACUCAACCCUGACUGUGUCGUAGCUAACGCGAUAAGUAUACCGCCUGAGGAGUACGCUCGCAAGGGUG
rnacentral:rRNA from 1 species